GUUCGCACAAAAUUGUGACGGGUUACGAUUUAAUUUUUUGCGUGAUACGCACAUGGGCUUCCACUUCACAAGCGUCUAAUUUACAUGCAACUCACGCAACCUCCCUUAACUGUAAAAACCUGUAGUAGUAGAUUAAGUCGACUUUUCCGCAACGCCAUUCAAAUAAUGCCACGCAAGCGACUUCACGCCUUAUGUGCGUUUCCGUUGCUACUUUUGCGAGUACAAGAACAAGAAAACGGGAACAUUUGCAACAGAAAGCAGUGAUCACGUCGCAGUUUAAGAUCACUGACAUAAAUGGAAUUAUACUAUGAUUGAAAAAUUACGAUAUUUACCAAUACUAUGCAUAUUCAGUUAUAGAUUAAAUAUUGUAUCGGACACGCAGCAACUUAUUUUAUAUUACCUACAACACGCAUACAAUUAUCGGUACCCCAGCGUACCAAUGGUACCUGGCUACCAGUUAGUACCAGUCGAAAAUAAAAAUAAAAUUUCAUUGAACAAACUUUUGUGCGUGAUAGUUGGCUCGAUUGGUUGUUGAUGUUAUGAGGGUCACAUGCAUCAUAUACAUAGAUAAUAGAUAUACAAAGUUUCAGGAGAUAAAGGAAGUGUUGUCUAUG